CCACAAUGAGAUACCAUCUCACGCCAGUUAGAAUGGCAAUCGUUAAAAAGUUAGGAAACAACAGAUGCUGGAGAGGAUGUGGACAAAUAGAAAUGCUUUUACACUGUUCGUGGGAGUGUAAAUUAGUUCAAACAUUGUGGAAGACAGUGUGGCAAUUCCUCAAGGAUCUAGAACUAGAAACACCAUUUGACCCAGCAAUCCCAUUACUGGGCAUAUGCCCAAAGGAUUAUAAAUCAUUCUACAAUAAAGACACAUGCCCACGUAUGUUUAUUGCUGCACUAUUCACAAUAGCAAAGACUUGGAACCAACCCAAAUGUCCAUCAAUGAUAGACUAGUUAAGAAAAUGUGGCACCUAAACACCAUGGAAUACUAUGCAGCCAUUAAAAAGGAUGAGUUAAUGUCCUUUGCAGGCACAUGGAUGAAGCUGAAAACCAUCAUUCUAAGCAAACUGUCACAAGGACAGAAAACCGAACACCGAAUGUUCUCACUCAUAGGUGGGAGUUGAACAAUGGGAACACAUGGACACAGGGUGGGGAACAUCACACACCGGGGCCUGUCGGGUAUGGGGGGCUGAGGGAGAGAUAGCAUUAGGAGAAAUACCUAAUGUAAAUUACGAGUUGAUGGGUGCAGCAAACCACCAUGGCACAUGUAUACCUAUGUAACAAACCUGCACAUUGUGCACUUGUACCCUAGAAUUUAAAGUAUAAUAAUAAUAAUAAUAUUUUUAAAAGGCAGUAGAGUGCGCACUUCAGCAGCACAUAUACUAAAAUUGGAAUGAUACAGAAAAGAUUUGCACACCCCCUACUAGGCCCGGCUGGAUGUGGUGGCUCAUACUUGUAAUCCCAGCACUUUGGAAGGCUGAGGAGGGAGGAUCACUUGAGCUCAGGAGUUCGGGACCAGCCUGUCAACAUAGUGGGACCCCAUUUCCACAAAACAAUAAAAAAUUAGUGGGGCAUGGUGAUGUGAGCCUGUAGUUCCAGCUGCUUGAGAGGAUGAGGUGGGAGGAUGGCUUGAUCCCAAGAGGUCAAGGCUGCAGUAAGCUAUGAUCAUGCCACUGCACUGCAGCCUAGGUGACUGGGUGAGACCUUGUCUCAAAAAAAAAAAAAAAAGCUGUAUGGGCGGUCACAGGACUGAAAAAGGGGCCCCAAGCACAAUAGAAGUAUUAGGCAAAGGGGCAGAAGAGAGGACAAGAGUAGAUAGAGGUCAAUCCAUGGAAGCAGUGGCAGGAAGUCAAUAGACACUUUUAUUUCCUCUGUAAACCACGAGAUCACCUGCUGAGAGGAAGCGGGAAGGUGUUGUGGUAGGAAGUCGGAAGAGUUUGGAGAAGGUUUGAAAUGGCUGCAUUCAAAAGGGAAAAUAAAGAGAUUAAGAGCAGCUCGAGGACUCUGAGAUUAGACCCAUAAGGAGCAGCUUGUUACGUCACUUUCUCCAGCAGCAUCCAGCAGGUCAGGUAGAAUAUGGGAAGGCCAACAAAUACCCGCAAUAAGCUCAAGGUUUCCUAAGGUCAGCACUGCAAAGAAUAUGGGUCAAGGAAAUCAAUGGCACUGGCAAAAGGGACAGACCUGUGGUCUAGCCAGAGAGGAGAGAAAUCCCAUUCAGAGUGCGGGAGCAGAUGGGGCUAACGGGAGAUAAUAAAAGGGCCAAAACCUCAAUACAACUGAAAACCAGGCACAGUGAGCAAAAUGAAGUAAGAGAGCUGAAAGUUAGAUAGUUGGGGUCAGAGAUAGAAACGAAUCACUUGGAUGGGAUGAUCAGGGAUGGAGAAGACCAGUAGUGAGCCCAGGAGAGAGAUGAUGUGGGCCUAAAAAACUACCCUUUAUUAAGCCCCUAUUUGUCCAGGCUUAACAUGCUAAAAGCUUUACCUGUAUAAUCUCAGGUAAUACAACUCUCAAAGGUAAGGCUUGUAUCAGCAUUAUACAGAAGAGGAAACAGGCCAAGAGAAACUGCAUACUUGGCUAAGCGCAGUGGCUCACGUCUGUAAUCCCAGCACUUUGGGAGGCCAAGGUAGGCGGAUCACUUGAGGUCAGGAGUUAGCCUGGCCAACAUGGUGAAAUCCCAUCUCUACUAAAAAUACAAAAAUUAGCCAGGCAUGGUGGCACAUGCCUGUAAUCCCAGCUGCCUUUUAAACAGAACCCUUAACUUUCUUUUUUUGAGUUGAAGUUUUGCUCUGUUGGCCAGGCAGGAGUACAGUAACACAAUCUUGGCUCACUGCAACCUCCAUCUCCCGGGUUCAAGCAAUUCUUCUGUCUCAGCCUCCUGAGUAGCUGGGAUUACAGGUACCCACCACCAAGCCGGGCUAAUUUUUGUAGUUUUAGUAGAGAUGGGGUUUCACCAUGUUGGUCAGGCUGGUCUUAAACUCCUGACCUCAAGUGAUCCACCUGCCUUGGCUUCCCAAAGUGCUGAGAUUAUGGCACGCCCAGAUCUCUUUUUUUUUUCUUCUUCUUUUUUUCUUUUUUUUUUUUUUUUGAGACAGUUUCACUCUUGUUGCCCAGGCUGAAGUGUAAUGGCGUGACCUCAGCUCACUGCAACCUCUGUCUCCUGGGUUCAAGCAAUUCUCUUGCCUCAACCUACAGAGUAGCUGGGAUUACAGGUAUCUGCCACUACGCC
rnacentral:lncRNA from 10 species